rnacentral:rRNA from 1 species
UACAGAGGUCUCAAGCGUUAAUCGGAUUCACUGGGUUUAAAGGGUGCGUAGGUGGGUCUGUAAGUCAGUGGUGAAAUCUCCAAGCUUAACUUGGAAACUGCCGUUGAUACUAUAGACCUUGAAUGCUGUGGAGGUGAGCGGAAUAUGUCAUGUAGCGGUGAAAUGCUUAGAUAUGACAUAGAACACCAAUUGCGAAGGCAGCUCACUACCCAGAUAUUGACACUGAGGCACGAAAGCGUGGGGAUCAAACAGG